CUUUAUUUUCUCAUUUAUCUCUUGGCAUUUUGUUGUUGCCCGUAUCCCCACGACCCACGAAUCCAGAGCAUGGAGUCAGCCCCAACCUGAAAGCACUCAGUGGGAUUCUAGAGGAAGAAGACUUGAAGAGAAGCCCAGGUCACCAGAGAGGAAAUUACAGCAGAAUUUGGAGAUGAAUCCCCAGCCAUUUAUAGUGUGUGGCGUUGGCCUAAAAUAACCUGUGGAUUCUAUAGGCCUCUCCACACUACAGAAUAAACUUCCAUAAGACAGAC
rnacentral:lncRNA from 1 species